GAUGAACGCUGGCGGCGUGCCUAAUACAUGCAAGUCGAGCGAACAGACUAGGAGCUUGCUCCUGUGACAUUAGCGGCGGACGGGUGAGUAACAGGUGGAUAACCGACCUAUAAAACUGGGAUAACUUCGGGAAAACGGAGCGAAUACGGGAUAAUAUAUUUAACCACAUUGUACAAUAGUGAAAGACGGUGUUGAUGGCACUUAUAGAUGGGUACGCGCCGCAUUAUCUAGUUGGUAAGGUAACGGAUUAGCAAGGCCAAGAUGCGUAGCCGAACUGAGAGGGUGAUCGGCCACACUGGAAAGGAGAUAAGCUCCCGAAUCCGACGGGAGGCAGCAGUAGGGCACCUUCCGGAAGGGGCGGAAGCCUGACGUAGCAAAGGCGCGUGAGUGAUGAAGGUCUUCGGAUCGUAAACCUCUGUUAUUAGGGAAGAACAAAGGUGUAAGUAACGAUGUAAGUCUUGACGGUACCUAAGCAGAAAGCCCCGGCUAACUACGUG
rnacentral:rRNA from 1 species